rnacentral:tRNA from 1 species
CCGGGAUUAGCGCAGUUGGUAGCGCACUUGCUUUGGGAGCAAGAUGUCGGGAGUUCGAGUCUCCCAUCUCGGACCA